rnacentral:rRNA from 1 species
UACGGAGGGUGCAAGCGUUAUCCGGAUUCACUGGGUUUAAAGGGUGCGUAGGUGGGUUGGUAAGUCAGUGGUGAAAUCCCCGAGCUUAACUUGGGAACUGCCAUUGAUACUAUCAGUCUUGAAUAUUGUGGAGGUUAGCGGAAUAUGUCAUGUAGCGGUGAAAAUGCUUAGAUAUGACAUAGAACACCAAUUGCGAAGGCAGCUGGCUACGCAUAUAUUGACACUGAGGCACGAAAGCGUGGGGAUCAAACAGG